rnacentral:rRNA from 1 species
GUGCCAGCCGCCGCGGUAAUACGUAGGUGGCAAGCGUUAUCCGGAAUUAUUGGGCGUAAAGCGCGCGUAGGCGGUUUUUUAAGUCUGAUGUGAGAGCCCACGGCUCAACCGUGGAGGGUCAUUGGAAACUGGAAAACUUGAGUGCAGAAGAGGAAAGUGGAAUUCCAUGUGUAGCGGUGAAAUGCGCAGAGAUAUGGAGGAACACCAGUGGCGAAGGCGACUUUCUGGUCUGUAACUGACGCUGAUGUGCGAAAGCGUGGGGAUCAAACAGGAUUA